GACGAACGCUGGCGGUGUGCUUCACACAUGCAAGUCGAACGAGGUAGCAAUACCUAGUGGCGGACGGGUGAGUAACGCGUGGGAAUCUGCCUUUAGAUGGGGGAUAACGGGUCGAAAGACUCGCUAAUACCGCAUAUGACGAAAGUUGAAAGGAGUAAUCCGUCUAAAGAUGAGCCCGCGUCCGAUUAGCUAGUUGGUAGAGUAAAAGCCUACCAAGGCGACGAUCGGUAGCUGGUCUGAGAGGAUGAUCAGCCACAAUGGGACUGAGACAACAGCCCAUACUCCUACGGAGGCAGCAGUGGGAAGUUUUACGCAAUGGCGAAAGCCUGACGUAGCGACACCGCGUGAGCGAAGAAGACCCUUCGGGGUGUAGAGCUCUGU
rnacentral:rRNA from 1 species